UGUAAGCGUAUACCAAAGUUGUUGCAGUUAAAACGCUCGUAGUCGGAAUUUGGCAGUUCCGGAAGUGUGCACGUCGUGUGCGCACUUUGCGGGGACUGCUUUUGUGGUCUUGCGUAGGAUGAGGCACUUUCAUUAGUGAACGUCCUCACGCAACCACUCUUUACUGUGAGAAAAUCAGAGUGCUCAAAGCAGGCAUUUGCCGUGAAUGUAUUAGCAUGGAAUAAUAGAAUAGGACUCGGUUCUAUUUUGUUGGAUUGUUGGGACUGAGUAAUGAUUAAGAGGGACAGUUGGGGGCAUUUGUAUUCCGGCGCUAGAGGUGAAAUUCUUAGAUUGCCGGAAGACAAACUGCUGCGAAAGCGUCUGCCAAGGAUGUUUUCAUUGA
rnacentral:rRNA from 1 species